UGCGUAGGUGGCGCUGUAAGUCAGGUGUGAAAUUUCGGAGCUUAACUCCGAAACUGCAUUUGAUACUGCGGUGCUUGAGGACUGGAGAGGAGACUGGAAUUCACGGCGUAGCAGUGAAAUGCGUAGAGAUCGUGAGGAAGACCAGUGGCGAAGGCGGGUCUCUGGACAGUUCCUGACACUGAGGCACGAAGGCCAGGGGAGCAAACG
rnacentral:rRNA from 1 species